UGUUGGUUGGCGGCGAACGGCUCAGUAACACGUAGUCAACCUGCCCUCGGGCCGAGAAUAAUCUCGGGAAACUGAGGCUAAUGAACGAUAGGUCAAGAUUCCUGGAAUGGGUUUUGGUCUAAAUGGCGUGACAGCAUCUUGUCAUGUCCGCCCGAGGAUGGGACUGCGGCCGAUCAGGCUGUUGGUGGGGUAAAGGCCCACCAAACCAGUAACCGGUACGGGCUUUGAGAGAAGGAGCCCGGAGAUGGACACUGAGACAAGGGUCCAGGUCCUACGGGGCGCAGCAGGCGCGAAACCUUCGCAAUGCGCGCAAGCGCGACGAGGUUAUUCCGAGUGAUUUCCGCUGAGGAAAUCUUUUCUUAGAUCUAAAAAGUCUGGGGAAUAAGGGGAGGGCAAGUCUGGUGUCAGCCGCCGCGGUAAUACCAGCUCCUCGAGUGGUCAGGGCGUUUAUUGGGCCUAAAGCAUCCGUACCCUGCUUGGUAGGUCUCCUGUUAUAUCCAACGGCUCAACCGCUGGUCUGCAGGAGAUAUCGCUAUGCUAAGGAUGAGGUAGAGGCGGACGGUACUCCCAGGGUAAGGUUUUAAUCCUUUUAUUCCCCGAAUA
rnacentral:rRNA from 1 species